rnacentral:snRNA from 1 species
CGAUGUGAGGGGCAUCUAGCUGUAACAUCUGUCUACUCUCAUUGAUUGCCUGAGUUGAAUCAGCUGAUCUGGUUGGCUAGGUGGGUGUCCCCUUCCUCCCUCACUGGACCAUGUGCGUCUCUCCAGAAGGAUGACCUUCCUCAAAUAGAGACAGAACCUUCAGACAAGCUCUCAUCAUGUUAAGCAGCUAUUGAGUGAAUGAUUGACCUUAGUGACUGAACAGCUUGGAAACAGUGUAAACAAUAUUCAGUCUGUACCUGUUGAUUAAUAAUUAACAUCCUUUUUACUUUUGUUCCAUGCUUGAUGGAUAGUAUAGGACA